AAAGAAACAAAAAAAACAAAGUAAUUUAAAAAAUUAAGAUAAGUGAAUUGUAAAAAUACUGGAAAAAGGAAAAAGAGAAAAAUAAAGUACUCUGAUAUUUGUUGAAUGAGAAUGGUAGAUAUCAGUGUGGAUGAAAAGAUAAGAAGAAAAAAAAAAAAAGGAUAAACACUU